UGCAGUCGAGAAUCUUCGGCAAUGGGCGCAAGCCUGACCGAGCGACGCCGCGUGGAGGACGAAGGCCUUCGGGUUGUAAACUCCUGUCGAGGGGGAAGAAGCCGCAAGGUUGACUGAUCCCUGGAGGAAGCACGGGCUAAGUUCGUGCCAGCAGCCGCGGUAAGACGAACCGUGCGAACGUUAUUCGGAAUCACUGGGCUUAAAGCGCGUGUAGGCGGAUCGGCACGUCGGUCGCUGAAAUCCCCCGGCUUAACCGGGGAACGGGCGCCGAAACGACCGGUCUGGAGGAACGUAGGGGGAGCUGGAACUUCCGGUGGAGCGGUGAAAUGCGUUGAGAUCGGAAGGAACGCCCGUGGCGAAAGCGAGCUCCUGGACGUUUUCUGACGCUGAGA
rnacentral:rRNA from 1 species